CAAGAAAUGAAUUGGAUAAUCCACAUCAACAAAAAGCAUGGAAAAUUUAUCCACCAGAAUUUGCCGUGGAGAUAAUUUUUGGUAUGGUUUCUGUGGAUUCUCUGCUCUUUGUGCUCUCCUCCCCACAUUGAUGGCUCCAUCUGGCACAGGGAAGCUUCUGGAUAUCAGAAGGUGGAUUCUCACUCUGUCACCCAGGCUGGAGUGUACUGGCACAAUCUUCGCUCACUUCAACCUCUGCCUUCUGGGUUUGAGCAAGUCUCCUGCCUCAGCCUCCCGAGUAACUGGGAUUACAGGCGUGUACCACCACAUCUGGCUAAUUUUUAUAUUUUUAGUAGAGACGAGGUUUCACCAUAUUGGCCAGGCUGGUCUUGAACUCCUGACCUCAAGUGAUCCACUUGCCUCGGCCUUCCAAAGUGCUGAGAUUACAGGCUUGAGCAACCUUGCCCAGCCAAAAGUAAACUCUUUAAUUCUAUCACAAUAUGUUCUAGAUCUUUGACAGACUGAAAGACAUAAAAUGUCAAAAGGUGAGACUCUCUCAUGUGGCUAAACACCCUCCUACUGCAGAGACAGAACUGAGCCCAAGAGCAUUCACGUGCUGGUGAGAGGUGGCCAGGGGCAGGCAGAUGGUUGCACCAUUCUCAGGGUCAGCAUCUUCCCCAGUGUGGCACGGGGGAGGGGAGGGGGCACGGGGCCUGGGAGGCUGUAGCCUAAAGGCAUGCAGUGGGCGAGAGACUACUGGGCAGGCCCCUGCCAGCCUUCAGUUCCCUGAGCAUCUGGUGCCAGGACGCUCCUUGUGGGCUCUGCCCUGGGAGAAGUGCCCUUGCCCAGUGCUCCUUAUCAGUGUCUGUGACGCUCUGUCUCCAGUCCUCCUCAUUAGCAUACCUUGGCCGACCUUUGGCUCAUGGAAAUACACUUUGCUCUUCUCUGAACAAUUUCUUUUUCACAGCUGAGCAAAUGACUGAUGAGGUGACCACACUCAUGACCAUACUCACCUGUUGGUGGUGGGUGGGGGUGGACUGGAUGAGGACAGCAUUGGGCAACACUCCUUCUGGCCUCCCCACUGCAGGGAGCCGCAAUUACUAUGAGAGUCCUGUGGGACGCCAGGGUAGUCCAGGGUUUCCCUUUGGGCAAUCAGCAUUCCAACCUCUCCUCCUACUUCUGGCCUCUGGAGAACUAAAUUACCACCAUGCACUUCCCAUUCCGCCUGUGCCUCAGCCCGAGGGUCCUGCUCUUCCUGCAUGUUCAAGCUGAUCUUUCUAGGGAGUAGCCUGCACUGUGCCAGCACUACCCCCUUGUCACAGGCAGCACCUCCCUGUGCCGGGGGAGCCUCAGUCUGCCCUUGGGCUCAGGCCCCUAGGCUCAAGUUAGCUGACAUUCCCAGGAAAUCCUACAACUUCUCCUUUCCUUUCAUGGCUCUGAGACACAGUCCAUUAUCAGUCUCAUUGUAAAAGACACUUCUAAAGAGUGUCCUCCUUUCUUUCCCAACACUAGCAGGGACAGUAAGUGGUGUUUCCUGGGAGAUGCUGCGGUGUUAGUUUUGCACUACAAGGGCUCUGAAGACUGCCAGGCUUGAAGUGAAGAACCACGUCACCUGCCUAUCCCAGCCAGGUGACAGUGGACAAGGGGCUUCACCUCUUAGCUGUUUUCCAGCUGUACUGGGCACAUUCCUCCUCUCACCCUGACUCACAAGGUGUUAGCAGUAAUGGACACUCCUCUAUCUUCUGCCACACUCUGAACAAUACUUCACUUCCAUCAAAUGGAUUCAUCCCAAAGGUAACACCCAUCGCUUCUGGAGGGAGAAAGGUAAUGUUUUCAUACCACUUUCAUUUGAUCUCAUUUAGAAGGUACUUGAGGAAUAGAGAAGACUGGGUUUUCUCUGGGAUUAUACGUAGGCAUUUCUUAAUGACUGGGACAUGUUCUGAAAAAUGUGUCAUUACACAAUUUCAUCAUUGUGCUAUCAUAGAACACACACACACGACCCUAGAUGGCAUAGCCUACUCCACACCUAGGCUGUACGGUAUGGCCUGUUGCUGAAGUCUACACACCUGUACAGCAUGUUACUGUACUGGAUACUGUAGGCAACUGUAACACAGUGGUAUUUGUGUAUCUAAAUGUAUAUAAACACAGAAAAGGUACAGUAAAAGAUGGUAUAAUCUCAUGGGACCACCAUCAGAUAAACCAUCCAUCACCAACAGAAACAUGGUUAUGAGACACAGGACUGUACCUGCAGCCGCCACCAUGAGGUCAAUGGCAGCCUGGAUAGUGGAACCCACUCUUCUGCUGGUCUCAUGGAAGGCAGCUCUCUGGAGCUUAUGACAGGCACCACAUAUCCCUCGGGGGAGGCAAGAGUUCACCAUUAGUCCAAGUCUGCAGCCUCCCAUUGUCUAGGCCUGCAGCCAAAUUACUGAACCUAAACUUCUGGGAGCCAUGAACUGGGCUCUACGUUGUUCCAAAGGAAAUGGGUUCAAGGUAUCAGUGCAGCUUAGCAAUUGUCCCCUAAAAAGCUCACAGAUCAAAAAUCUCCACUGUGUAUCAAUGCUAUAGCCACCAGCAGCACUUCAAGUGACCUUUCUGAAAACUGAAAAAAUGAACACCAAAUAAGUAAGCCAACCACAGAUGUACUAACCCACAUCAGGCUUGCUUUUUUAGAGGCCUGUGCUGAGCCAUCAACUGAACAGGCUCAGUUCUAAAUUCAGACAGCAGCCUGUGCUGGGUGCCUAAGGGGAUGUCUUUGAGAUACAGUUGGUCUGGAAAGAGGCAUCCAGGCAGCCAAGGGUGGGAGCUGCACCCCGGGAUCACAAACACCUUGGGGAAUGCCUGCUCUACCUGCAGUGUGGCCCCUUUGCCUCUACAGCUGGGAGUCUUCAUCUGUACAAGGUGAAUAAUAAAAAUAUUAUAAAACAAAGGCAGUCACAAAUAGCCACAUUGGUGUUGGGAUGAUCAAACCCAACACCAUGCCAUGGGAGCUACAGAGUCCGGCAGAGUCAAAGGAAUGAGACAAGACAAUAGUACAUAAAGUGGGUCCAGGGCGCUCAGGGCUGUGAAGGCCCUGAGCUCUGGGAGCCCACACUAUUUAUUGGUGAUUAAACAAACAAGCAGGGGGUGAGGAUGUGCUGGUCAAAAGGAAGCGGUCGCAUCAAGUGUUUAAUUUAUAGCUGUGUCGGUUUAGCAUUUUCUUUGAAGCAUAUGGAACAUGUUCUGCUACUCGAGAUAAUGUUGAAUAUGUCCUUCUAACUCAAGAUAUAAUCAAUUUAUGAUCCUGGGAGAGCAAGAAGCAAGGAGCCAGCAAGUCUGGACACAUUCCAGAGGCCACGAGGGGUUUUAUGUAUCCCCUACAAAAGACCAUGUUUCUUCUCAGCUUGCUCAGUCCAGCUGAGCCAGCUUUCCACUGGACUCCUGAAUGUGAGAAGGACACAGGCUCCCAGGACUAUCCAGAAGCAUCCCUCAUCACCAUAAAGCUCUAAAACACUGGCUGGGUGCAGAGGCUCACACCCGUAAUCCCAACACAUUCAGAGGCUGAGGUGAGAGGAUCACUUGAGGCCAGGAACUCAAGACCAGCCUAGGCAGCAUAGCAAGACCCCAUCUCUACAAAAAGUAUACCCCAAAAUUAGCUGGGUGUGGUGGCACAUGCCUGUAGUCUCAAUUAAUUGGGAGGCUGAGGUGGGACUAUCCCUUGAGCCCAGGAGUUUGAGGCUGCAGUGAGGUAUGAUCGCACCACCACACUCCAGCCUGGGAGACAGAUUGAGACCAUCUCUAAAACAACAACAACAGGCCAGGUGCAGUGGUUCAUGCCUGUAAUCCCAGCAAUUUGGGAGGCUGAGGCGGGUGGAUCACCUGAGGUCAGGAGUUCAAGAACAGCCUGGGCAACCUGGUAAAAUCCUGUCUCUACUAAAAAUACAAAAAAAUUAGCAGGGCAUGGUGGCAGGCACCUAUAAUCCCAGCUACUCGGGAGGCUGAGGGAGGAGAAUUGCUUGCACCCAGGAGGCGGAGAUUGCAGUGAGGUGAGAUCACAUCAUUGCACUCCAGUCUGGGCAACAAGAGCAAAACUUUGUCUCAAAAAACUAAAAAAUAUAAAAAAUACAACAAAAAAGAGACACAGAAAACUGAAAUAUUUUGUUUCAUUUUAUUAUUGAUGGUUAGUUGAUUAAAGUAAUUCUGCUUCCACUUACUUUAUUUUUGAAGACACUAAUUGCUACACUGAAUGAAACCUUAAUGAAGUUUCAUUAUAAGUAUCUAUUAUCAUUUGAUUAUUUUCUACAUAGAAGCAUGCAAAAAGUUUAAAAUUCAGUUUCAUUUGAUUUAGCCUUGACUGUAAUGAAGGACUCUAUGAAGAGGGGACACAGUGCUUAUGGGCUGGAGUCCCAGCAACUGCUUGGUGGCAGAGUCCCAGUCGUUCCCCAGUUCAAGCUGUGGGCAGAUAGAUGGGUACUGUCCUUCAGUUCUUCUUACCCAUUCACUUGCUUUCUUUAGUGCCUCAAAAGUCAAGGGAAUAUUCCUAGAUUAAAAAAAUAAAUGUUUCAGAUUUCAGAAUAUAAUAACAUGAAAUGUAAUGUGGUACUAAACCUAUCACGUUAUAUCAGACAAAAUGAUUAUGCUAAAAAUUAAGAUAUUUAAUAAAAGCAGUUUUCCUUGACAUCUUACGGAAGUUCUUCUACCCGUCUGACCUUGAGCUUAUGCACUGCAUUGUCAAGUGUCCUGUGCCCACCACUUCCUGGCUUCCACGUGCCUCCAGGCAUCCCUGCUGCCUACAGCACAGCUCACGUUCCAGCCUCUCUACAGUUGUUUAUGGUUGUCCCCUUUCCACGCUUCUCAGUCUAAAUCCUAUCCAUUCUUCACGCACAAACUCAAGUACUAUUUCACAAAUGAGGCUUCUGUUUCUCUCUCCUUCCCACUGUACUGACUUGAUUAGGUACCUUCAGAAUAUCUGAGAGUACCCCAUGAAACUGGCAUACAUUCAGUUGUGUCACGUAAACCAGGAACAACUUGGUAGAAUAAGCAUAUCAAGUCAAGUCUGUGUCCACUAAAUGGUGUCAAAUAUUUGAGACUGUUGAAUAUUCAAGUCUAUUCAACACUCAGAAAAAUUCUGAGGUUGUUCCUUAAUAUUAAUUAGCUACUUCCUCAUUUGUUCUGUCAUCUGCUAGAACUUGUUAGUGAACAAGUGGCAACAUACACCAAAGUUCUUCAGAAAAUUCUAUGGGGAAACAAUAUUUUGAAAAUUCUCUCCCUGUUCCUGAAUUUUCCUUGUGAACUGGGAAAGGGCCGUCAGUAUAGCAUGGUGGUUAAGAGCUGGGUUUGAGUCCUGACUCUGCAAUGACAUGAUAUUGGCCAUGUGAUACUGUGUGGCUUUCAUUCAACACUGGGAAUCUCAGUUUCCUCAAUUAUGAGAAUAACGAGUUCCUAUGGGUUUGUGGUGGAAAUCAACAAAGCUUACAAAUUUAACAUGCUUACUAGUCCCUAGUGCACAGUAGGCACUCAAUAAAUGUUCGCUGAAUGUCAUGAUAGAAUGAACAUACUAAAUAAGAAGCAUGCCCAAAGUGGUUAAAAGACCAAUGUUUCCCAGUAAAUAUUCAUCUACUGAUAGUUACUAACUGCUGAAAACAACAAAACUGGCUUUGAAUAUUUUCACUGAUUGAGCUGGCCUCCUUUAGUCCAGUGGCCUCUACACUUUUUGGUUCACAUUCCACUAGCAAGAAAAUCUGGUGCCUACACCCCCAUGUAAUGUGCUCUUGCAUCAAUGUUACGUACAUCCUGAAAUAGAAAAUAUAGAACAAAGUUUCAAAUAUGCAAUAAACAGGAAAUAAAAAAUAUUUAAUUACAUGUGUGCACUAAGGAAAAAAAGUCAAUCCAUUAUGCAUCAGGAAAAACAACAUUUAAAUAAGUUAUUUGUAUCUAUAAUUUUCAUCCUUAAAAAGUCUUAAGGUAGUUUGUGAUAAUCUUUCUCAAAUUUCUAAAACUUCUAUAAAUAACAGUUUCUAGUUACAUAAACAUUUUAAAAAUCAACUGUUUUUAAAGGAUAUGGCUACGAAUGCACCAUAAUUGAUUAACCCUAGAGGUUAUUUCUCAAUUUUCAUUAUUGUAAACAACGCUGUGAUGACUAUCCUCAUGUACACAUCUUUCUGCACUUGUUCAAUUAUUUUCUUAGUAGUGGAAAGGGGGAGGUUCAAUGGUUAUUCAUUAUUUAUUUUAAUUCAUAAUUUUUAAAAAUUUUGGGUUUUUUUAAUAGAUAUGGGGUCUUGCUAUGUUGACCAGGGUGGUCUUGAACUCCUGGCCUCAAGUGUCUUCCACCUCAGCCUCCCAAAGUGCUGGUUUACAGGCAUGAGCCACCAUGCCCAGCUUACAAUUUUAUUUAGUUUUUAAUAAAUAGUAAAUUCACAUUGUAGAAUAUCUAAAAAAUAAAAUAAUGACAUGUUAACUUCUUCCCCACUGUUGUCCCCAGUUCCUUUCUGCAGAGGCACCUGCUGUCACUUGCUCCUCGCGAAUCCUGCUAGAGCUACACUAUGUGUAGACAUAUGGCAGCGUGUUCCUCAGCCUCUUCCGUGCUGGCUUGUCCACUGAAUUUAUCUUGGCGAUUGUUCCUCGUGAUUACAUAUAGAGCUGCCUCAUUAUCUACAGUAGCUGGGAUGCACAUUUCACAUGUUUAUGUACACUGACUUCCAAAAGGUUGCACUUACAGUAUGUGAGUUUCUAAAAAGGAGAGACCAUGUUGGCAGUUCUCCACACAGAAUACAAACUGAGAAGGGAGAGCAGGCACGAAUUACUCAUCUGUCCACAGAGAUGGUGAGACAGCUUAGUGUGAGAAGCCAUAUAAGGGAAGUAUAUACAAUUCUACCUGAAUUGGAAGUAAACAGGGACAUUGCAUUUCUGGUAUUCAGCUGGAGUUGAACACGCUUCACAGAUGAGGCUCACUAUGGCCAAGUCCCAGUGCUGAGGUCCAGGGAGGGGCAGGCUGAGUCAGCCCAUCAAUUCGUCAACAGAGGGAACAGGAGAGGACAGGGGCAGGCCAGCCUGGAACCUAGAGCCUUUGGAUUUCUAUUUUUACUUCUUACAAUGAGGUGGUUUAAAAAAAGAGGAGGGGGCCAGGCGCGGUGGUUCAUGCCUGUAUUCCCGGCCCUUUGGGAGGCCAAGUCAGGCGGAUGACAUGAGGUCAGGAGUUUAAGACCAGCCUGGCAAAAAUCCUGUCUCUACUAAAAGUACAAAAAUUAGCCAGGCGUGGUGGCAGGCACCUAUAAUCCCAGCCACUCAGGAGGCUGAGGCAGGAGAAUUGCUUGAACUCAGGAGGUGGAAGUUGCAGUGAGCUGAGAUCGCACCACUGCACUCCAGCCUGGGCAACAGAGUGAGACUCCAUCUGAAAAAAAAAAAAGAAGAAGAGGUUAGACUUAACUGUUUCCAAGAUUUCAUCCAGUUGUGAAAUCCUGUUAUCUGAACUGCCAGGCCUACAAGUUCAAUUCAAAAGAUGGAAUGUAGCUUCCUGCAGUCUUUAAAUGAACAAAACAAACAGCACAAGCCACACUGCGAAGAUGAGUCUGCACUACAUAUCUUUCUUUUUGCCCCCAGGAACCUGGCUUACCAGUAUAUCACCCCGGCGUUGACACACUGGUGAGUGACGACAGUGCACUUUUUGCAAAUCCUGUGCACUAUGACUUUUUUCCUUCAAGAAUAGAUUUGACUGGUCUGAAAUUCUAUUUUCAUAUUUGGCUGUGCUCUAGUAAUAUCCUGCCUCACGGGACAUGUGGAAUUGUCCUGCGGUUCAGGGAACAGGGAGAGGACAGGGCUGGUCCUCCUCUGCCUCUGGGGCCCAGCCUCCCAACCGGCCAAGUCACAGUCUCUCCUGAUGAGCUUCCAGUAGCUCACUCUCUCCUGCUGCUAAUCUCUGCUUCCUCUUCUAACCAUGACCCUGUUGUUCCCUGAAUGCGCGAUGUUUUAUCGUACUGUAGUUUAUGACAUUUGGAAAUACCUGAGGAUUUAAUGAAAAGGAAAACUUUCCGCCAUUUUCCUUAAUGUCAGUUUGUAGCUUUUUCUUCUGCUGCCGAGGUAAGUACUUCACUUUCAAACAGAAGAUACAAUUUGCAAAGAUUCCCAUCAUCCUGUAGGAAACAAAGUUUUUAAGGACCCUCUCUUAAGUCAAUAUGACAGUGAAUUUAGAAUUGUUAUACAUACAAACUGUGGAAAAAUUAGGCAUUACCUUAAGAAACAUUGUAAUCAUGUUGUAAAUUGAACACAUUGUAAAAAUUGAAUAUCAUAGCUUGCAACAUGUGUGUUGGUUUAAGAAUGAUUUCUAGCUUUUGUGGCUGAUAUUACAACACCCAAAAUCCCUUUGUACAGGCUUAUAAUAUACAUCUUAAUAAAAACAUGACAGAUUUUAGUUACAGAUUGAGUGUGUGACUCAAGAACAUAGAAGCAUUUAUUUCUAAAUUAAAAAUUAACAUUAUGUGAUAGUGAAACAUGGGUUUUUGUAUAUAAUUCUAUGCAUUCAAAAAGACUCAUUAUGUGGGUUUCUGUUAAGACAUUCUGGAGAAAAACCGAACAAUUGGUAAUAAAAAU